AAACGUUAAAUUAUUGAUAAUUUGCUGGAACAGACUGUUAUUUUUUACUCGUACUUGGGUAAAGAUAUGUUAACGUAGUGCUGCUCUGGAGUGUAAUUUUCAGGCCUCGUACUCUCCGUUGUGUGUGAAAUGUUUGUGGUUCUGUGAAAAGUCUCGGCUGGAGUUGGACGUUUCUGGUCCGAACGGAGCGUAAACCUUCUGGCUCUGUGUGUUUCCAUGUCAGACGGUUUCUACAGGGGAGAUAAGCUGAUCAACCUGAAGCUCUUAGCUGAUGAAGCUCUGCAGAAAUGUAGAGACAAAGGAUUUCCACUGAAGAAGUGCAUAAUGCUGAAGCACCUAUCGAAGGAGCCGGAGGCGGCGGGGCRUCWGUCUCCUCCCACCAAGCGAGCGUGUCCAGAUCUGGAGGAGAAAAGGAAAGUAAAGAAAACGCGUCCCGUUCCAAAGGUAUUUCCAUCUCCACAACUAAAGCCUCCAUGCCAUCUCUUGGGGUUUGUUUUGCAACAACGUCUCUGGGGUUUCAAUCAAACGCUUCACUGUUUUUGCAUCACUUUGUUUUCCAGGGAUUUUUUCUCUUUAGCUUGAGAUCAGAUUGAAACGUUUCGAAACUUUUAUCAGUUCAUGUCAAUGAAUCAGAACAUCGUUUAAGUUUUUUCCACAAUUCAGUUUAAAAGUAAAACUCAGAAACGUCAUGUUUUGGCCUGUAGUCAUUAGCAACAGGCCUUAUCAUUGGGGCUGCAUCCAAUCAGGCCAAUGGAAAGUUGAGUGGAGGGACAAACUGGAUUCAGAUUUGAGCAUGGCAUUCUUUAUCGAGAUAUUAAUCUAAUGGCUACCGACCCGAACUGCCAAAAGUACCGGUACCUUCCAUGAUUAUUUGUAACGAUUUUAUUUGAGAAACUUUUAUUUCAGAUGUAAAAACACUGUAGUAAAAAUACUGCAUGCUAGUUAGUUUUUAUAAAUUUAAAUAAAAUACAUAGCCGUGUUGUUUACGCUUCAAUGCAUCCUCGGUAGAUGAUAUGCUAGGUGCUACCAGCGCUAGCUCUGCCCAGCCAGAACAGUAAUUCCUGCGCAACGUUUGAACCUUUCAGUUUGAUCCAGAGCGAGAGGAGAUGAAGAUGAGGACGRCCAAACGGAGGAAGAGGARAAAGUCGGAUGAAAAAUCUGAUGUUUGYUCUGCUGCUGCUUGGAAAUGCUAACCUAGAAGAAGAGCGUAUGCUAAAAAACAGGCUAGCUGUGAACUCAAGCUGUUUACGGUUAGCAUUGGGAUCAAAAUAUUUUCCUAUGUCAAAAUAGUGUUACAAAAAUUGAAAGAUUCUUCAUUGUCACUUUAAAGAUUAAUUUAUCAUCUUCCAACUUGUUUAGAUUUCGUGUUAGCUCCUGCUAGUGAUGUUAGCGCCAGCUAACAUAAUAAACAGAAGAUCGCAUUUGUUUUUCAGUUCAGUUUAAUUCUAUUAAAACAAUACUUUGAUACCAAAGGAAGGUUAAAUGAUUUAAUUUAAAUUGCAGCUCUCGUGUAUAACGUGUUUGAAGCACCUUGCGUAUCGUUAGCCUUGACAUCUUGCGUUUUGCUUUGUAGGCUCUAGUCCACUAUAGUAUCCGUGAAAAAACGGACCUCCACGGGCAAAAAAUACAAUAGAGUUCAAACUGGACAAUAAAGCAGAAAAUGUAUCACAGUAUAAGCGUUUAUUAUUAUUAUUUUUUUUUAAUAAAAAAAAAGUUUGGUUGUAUCUGAAAUACAACCAAACUGGUGGAUCGGCUUUUCCUGUGUUAUCCACAGUUGAGGCGAAAUCUUAAACUGCCCUUCCGGAAGUUACUCAAGGGGUCGUUGCUAGGCAACCGAAGUUUGGGGGAACUUGAAACUGCUCCUUACCCAGCGGGUCGUUGCUAGGCAACCGAAGUUUGGGGGAACUUGAAACUGCUCCUUACCCAGCUGGCCGUUGCUAGGCAACCAGAGAGUGAGUUAGGAGAUUCCACUCACUUUGCUUUGCUAGCUGGGAGGUUGAGGAGCUAAUCAGACAUAUUAUCCGUUUUAUUGAUCACAUGUCUAUUGGGAAAUUUAUUAUUCAUUUAUUGUCCAGACCUAAAAAAAAAAAAGAUACGCAA